UCCACCCAUACAUCUGGUAGAACCCAUGAAGGCUUCUUUUUAAGCUUUCGAGCGGAGCUAAAGGAAUCAGAGAGUCUCAUACGCAAUUUGUACUCCCAAUUUUUAUAAAUUUCACGGUUAUACUGGUCCUUCCAGGAACACUUAGUCUGCAAAUAAAGUAUGUAACAUUAGUAAAGUUCUGAACCCUCACCCAAAUUUCCUCACCGGAGUAAAUUGGAGGUGGCAAAUCAUGUUCAACUGUAUUCUUUUUGAAUGCGUUCUUCAUCCUUCUGAACUCAUGAUCAACCGGAAAAAA
rnacentral:lncRNA from 1 species